UCAUAUUGUUAACUUUUUUUCAGCAAUUUUCUUGAUAUUCAAGAGAGACAUAGUGAGAUUUUGAAUUCCAUCUUUCUGUAAUUGCCCUGUUAUAUUUUGUAAGUCACAGGCUGUUUUCCUCAAAUGUAAAAUUGUACUCACCCCUCACUUGUGGGAACUUGAACUCACCACUCACAAGUGGAAUUUGAGAGCCCACGCAGUCAUGCUUGCUCCCCUCGCCUGGGAAUGGCUAUUCAGUCACUGCUGACACAGAAUUACAAAUGACAACGUGUUAAUGUAUUUUCAGGGUCACUCAAGAAUAGUCAGAACAAUUAGUAUUGAAAUCUGUGAAUGCCUUGGGUCUACAACAGUAGCUUAUGGUGGCAUUUAUUUUAUAGUUGAAGAAAUGGAAACAGAAUAGAUAGAAUGGUCGGUCACAGGUGGGACUAGAAUGCAGCAAAAUAUGAUGGUCUGUCUGACUUUCUAUGAACUAUCUCCUGGAACUGGAAAUUCUGCGAAUGUCUGCAGAAAGCAAAACAAACAAAUAGAUACCAGAGAUUUAUGUUAACAGCUGCCUCCAGAUUAUGACAUGCCACCUUACAAUGUUUGUCAGUUUCAGAUUUGGACUUGAAGAGAAAAGGACCUGGCAAAUUCCAUGAAAAAACAAACAAACCAAACCAAGACCAGAAAAAAACCCUCUUCCUUUGUUUACAUCUCAAUUUAUCAUUUUCUGUAAUGCUUUUGUAAUUCAGAGAUGCAACCUUCUUCAGCAUAACCUCCUGCCUUCCUCCUGCCCUCCUCUGGCCCCCAAAAUGUCAUUGGAUUCUAUCCAGUGGGAAGAUAUAUGGGCUAUGAGAAGUUAAAAAAAUGUGGCACCAACUCUGCUGACUCCUUACAUUCUCCUAAGUGGGCUUUAAGCCAUCCGUUGACAUGUGUUUUUAAACAUCCUGUAAGCUAUGCCAUUUUAUCAAAUUAAAUUAAAAGCAUAAUAUAUUCUCUUACAAUGACAGAACCUGAGUCAGGACUUCCAAGUUUGUGUUGUUGUUAUUAUUUUGCUUUUUACAAAGGAAUUAAAUUUUUUUUUUCAUUAUACCUGGCAUCGCUGGUCUGCUAUGCAUAUUUAAUGUUAAUAAAGUACAUGCGUACCUUC